rnacentral:rRNA from 1 species
GUGGGGAAUAUUGCGCAAUGGGCGAAAGCCUGACGCAGCAACGCCGCGUGUGUGAUGAAGGCCUUCGGGUUGUAAAGCACUGUCGGGUGGGAAGAAGGUGCGGUCAGGUAACUAUGGCCGUACUGACGGUACCGCCGGAGGAAGCACCGGCUAACUCCGUGCCAGCAGCCGCGGUAAUACGGAGGGUGCAAGCGUUGUUCGGAUUUAUUGGGCGUAAAGGGCGCGUAGGCGGCUUGUCAAGUCAGGUGUGAAAGCCCGCGGCUUAACUGCGGAAUUGCGCUUGAAACUGACAGGCUUGAGUACGGGAGAGGGUAGCGGAAUUCCGAGUGUAGAGGUGAAAUUCGUAGAUAUUCGGAGGAACACCGGUGGCGAAGGCGGCUACCUGGACCGAUACUGACGCUGAGGCGCGAAAGCGUGGGGAGCAAACAGGAUUAGAAACCCCAGUAGUCC